rnacentral:tRNA from 1 species
GGAGAUGUCGCCUAGUCUGGUUUAUGGCGCCCGCCUGCUAAGCGGGUUGAGGUUUUAAGACCUCUCGAGGGUUCAAAUCCCUCCAUCUCCGCCA